GUCAUCGCGUCUUUUUGACGCGAUACGCCCACGUCUGUAGGCCUAUUUAAAGCCAGCUCCAGCCGUUUUCUCGGCGUGGAGCACAGGCUGCUACCUCCCCGGGACACACACUACUCCUUAGGCGGCAAGGUUUCUAAAGCCUUUGAUCUGCCCUUUAUUGUGGACAGUGCAGUGUGGUCACCUAGCGACGGAAUCUAUUUUCCCUCCAGGUCUUUCCCACCUGUCUUCUGCCUUGCUGGUCCCGGUUGUUGCCUUUUUAUACUAUUUUCGAGAACCUACUAUUAUUGUGGCUUCCCAUACCAUCAGGAGAUCGUUUCUUCCUCCUUGUUACCCGGCUCACGUACUUAUUUUUGGUACUACCCCAAUGAUUUGUGAUGGAUGCGGAUGACCACCAACUCAAUUGGUACUAUAUUUGGCUUUAUUGCAUGCUGGCCCUCAAUAUUUUAUUGGAUUAUGUCUUUAUGUUAUCUGUAUGUUAUAAGUGUACAAUUUUCUUUCAGACACAUACAAGUAGCAAUACUUCCGUGUUAUAAAACCAUACAACUCGUCCAGAAGAAGCCGUAAGGCGAAACGCG